AUGGGUCUCCUGUCCAACAGGAUCGGGAAGGAGAGCCUGAAGGCGGGGGAUCACAUCUACUCGUGGAGGGCCGCGUGGGUCUACGCGCAUCACGGAAUAUAUGUGGGGGAUGAUAAGGUGAUUCAUUUUACCAGAGGAAGGGACCAAGAGGUCGGAACAGGAACGGUCAUUGAUUUUCUUCUUGUGAGUUCUGGCCCUACUAGGAGCACCACGCCAUGCUUGGUAUGCAGCAGCGAAGAAGCCACUACCACCGCGGAGACAAAUGGUGUGACAUCCUCUUGCCUCAGCUGUUUCCUGGCAGGGGGUGCCCUCUACCGUUUCGAGUAUGACGUCAACCCGGCGCUUUUCCUUGCCAAAGUGCGAGGAGGGACCUGCACGCUUGCCGCCACUGAUCCCGACGAGGUGGUUGUCCGACGCGCCAAAUACUUGUUGACCAAUGGUUUCAGGUGCUACAGCCUGUUCAAGAACAACUGCGAGGACUUUGCGAUAUACUGCAAGACUGGUCUGCUUGUGGCUGAGCAGGGCAACGUCGGGCUCGGGCAGAGUGGGCAGGCUGUGUCCAUCAUCGGCGGCCCUCUUGCUGCUGUGGUUUCGACCCCUUUCCGCCUAGUAACCACGAACAUCUAUGGAGUGGCGGUGAUGGCAGUCGGGGUGUACUGUGUCAGCAGGUACGCAGGUGACAUUGGCAACCGCCGAGACGUAUUGAAAGUGGAAGUGGAGGACCUGACUGCCGGGCUCGCAAGCGGCCGGAUUCGUCCGGCGAACAUCAGUCAGCUGGCAACUCCGGGGCAAGUCCAGGUUCCGGCAGUGACCACACUCGUUGCUGCUUAG
rnacentral:rRNA from 1 species